CUGUGAAAGCGCUCGGCAACUCCUCGAUGAAGUGCUCAAGCAUGACAUCAUCCUCGCCGUCGCCACCGCGCUGUGCAGCGGCAGGAGCGACUGCACGCAUCCCAGCUCAGACGGAGCCCUGAAAGAGAAAGCGAAGCGUCGGGGAAGGGAAGAGGAAGGGAAAUGAGGAGAAGGUGACCGGGAAAGGGGAGAUCUGGUGAUGGGAGAUUUUGA
rnacentral:misc_RNA from 1 species